GGGGCGCAGCCACGGCCCCCAUCCCGGAGCAGGCGCACCUCUGCACCCGCCUCUCAGCUAAGGGGGUCCGGUAUCCUGGUGCCAAGGCUGUGCGCGCCUGAGAAGCGCGGGGACCAGCUGCCCGCCCCUGUGCUUCCAGAGCCAGAGGCUGCAAACGGCUCCGCAGUCCCCAGCCAGUCCCCAGCGCCCAGCCGGCACCUCCUGCUGCCCAGCUGCCGAGGCACCUGCGGAGACGCGCCCAAGUCAGACCCUCCGACCCGCGCGCUCCUGCGGCCCAGCGCGCGCCGCUCCCUCUGCCGACCUUCGCCCGUCAGGCUCCCGCCCCGCGUCCUCCUCGACCGCCCCCGGCCGGGCAGCCCUCGCCGGUUCCCGCCGCUCGGCGAGGCUGAGGAGGCGGAACCCGCAUCCCCGCGGAGUCCAAGCCCCAGCGGCCGCAAAACUGGAACCGAGAACCAGCGGGAACGGCAGGAAGCGCGAGGCUCUUCUACUUUGUCGACAUCAGCUUUCCCUUGGCAGUGCCUUUCAGCUCAUUCCAGCAUCCCGCUUUGCCUUGCCUUUGAGGUCCGACAUCCUGGGUCAUUGUGUAUUUAAGUCCUGCACAGUCGCUUGCUUGCAGCGGCUGUAGAUGAACAUCCUCUCAUCAUCUACUGGCUUGGUCUCAAGGCGCUUAAUAUCCUUGGCAGCUUUCUCAAACAACUGGCAGUUGUUGCAAGGAUUCCUGGGAGCCCACUGAGAAGGUACGGAGCAGGAAGCUAUUGGAACUUAAUUUUUCAAUUGCAAAACUAAUAUAGCAAUAUU
rnacentral:lncRNA from 1 species